GACGAACGCUGGCGGCGUGCUUAACACAUGCAAGUCGAACGGAAAGGCCCUGCUUUUGUGGGGUGCUCGAGUGGCGAACGGGUGAGUAACACGUGAGUAACCUGCCCUUGACUUUGGGAUAACUUCAGGAAACUGGGGCUAAUACCGGAUAGGAGCUCCUGCUGCAUGGUGGGGGUUGGAAAGUUUCGGCGGUCGGGGAUGGACUCGCGGCUUAUCAGCUUGUUGGUGGGGUAGUGGCUUACCAAGGCUUUGACGGGUAGCCGGCCUGAGAGGGUGACCGGCCACAUUGGGACUGAGAUGCGGCCCAGACUGCUACGGGAGGCAGCAGUGGGGAAUAUUGCACAAUGGGCGGAAGCCUGAUGCAGCAACGCCGCGUGCGGGAUGACGGCCUUCGGGUUGUAAACCGCUUUCGCCUGUGACGAAGCGUGAGUGACGGUAAUGGGUAGAGAAGCACCGGCUAACUACGUG
rnacentral:rRNA from 1 species